rnacentral:lncRNA from 1 species
AAACCCGUGUCCAUAUUGUGUGUGUGAAGAAGCAUCGAAGCGCGGCAGCCAUGUUCAGCGUGGCAUUUCGGAAGGCUUGUCAGGGGUGGAGAAGCGGGGCGGGUUGCUGUUCUUUCACCUGACACUAAAGCGCCAUGCCGGAAGCACUGAGUCUGAUACGUCGGAACCAGUCUCCACCGUGUGGUUUGGUCUUGAUUUCCACUGGUACUCUGGGGUCUUGGAUAAGUCUCUGGACCUCGCCUUUGUCAUUUGCGAAGUCGAUAGGUUCCAAUAGAGAUUUUCCCAGAAUCAUUCAACUAAAAAUAGAGAACUUUUUUUUUUUGAGAGGAAGGACGGGGGCGCAGUUAAAGAUGUUAAUGUUAAGUCAUCCCUUCUGUGAUUUCGGGACAUUAUCUUUGCACGCCAUGUGAAGAUGUGCUUGCUUCCUUGUCACCUUCCGCCAUGAUUGUAAGUUUCCUGAGGCCUCCCAGGAAGCAGAAGCCUGUACAGCCCACAGAACCAUGACCUGAUGAAAUCUCUUUUCUUUAUAAAUUACCCAGUCUCAGAUCUUGCUAUGCUUGUCAUUGUGUAAGCAGCAAACUUGCAGUGACCAGUUGGAUUCCACCCCCCUGAUGUUGGUGGUGUGCUCUUGGGGAGAUGUCUUCCAGACAGGCAAAGAAGAGUGACAUCAUCAGAGCAUGGACGACCUCAAAGAUAUUCCAGCUAUGAGGAAACAAAAGGAGGGUGUUAGAGGAAAAAGAGGGAAACCCACUGACAGAGAGGAAGGCUGAAGAGAUCCCACCGCUGACUUGGACUAAGGAGAGAGAAGUCAAAGAGUGGUUACCUGGAUGAGGUGGCUGAAUAUGGGCCUGCUCUUGUCACUUUGGAUGUCACAACUAGCCUUGAGAAGAGCUGCUGUUCCAGGAGUCUGUCACAACUAGCCUUGAGAAGAGCUGCUGUUCCAGGAGUCUGUAGCCAAGGACGUACAGCAGUGGAGGCUGACUCAUCGCAUAGCUGAGUGACCAAUUGCUUGGCAUGAGUUUACUUUAAUGGCUGUUUCUGAGUUUGAUCCCUCUCCGGAACCAACCCCUCUGAUGUGUCCUGUUCCAGCAGGAAGAGACAGACCUGGAGGUUCUGUACUUGUGAUUUCUGGUUGUGGAUCCUGAGAACAAGAAGUACUGGGAUCCUAAAGUUCUGACAUUUGCAAAGCAGAUUAAUGACCUACCACAUUCCAGAUCAUUUGGUGAUUUUGUGUGUGCGUGUGGGUGUGUGUGUGUGUGUGCCAAAUUCAAGGUGGUCCCAGCCUUUCUAGUCUUCUCUAACCUUUCUUCUCAGAAGUCGCACCUGUUCUGUCUUUCUAGGAUAUAAUUUUUUUUCUAUUAGCCUGGGUAACACCCCAACCAAUAAAGUUUGCAAUAUCCAAGCCUCCUAAUUUCUCUACUUAUUAGCUUAUAUUAAGCUUCAGCAUGAGCAAGCCUAAAAACUCGCCAUUAUCUGGAAAAGUUCUAUUUCACAGGCUUUAAUCUCUCCUAGAGUAGUUAGCACUCUUUUGUGGCUUUGUGUUCCUGUACUAGCUUGAAUUCCACAGUCUGACGUUAAUAAUUAGCUCCUUAACACGUCCAUCCUCUCUUGAUGUCCUGCUCUCUAUUUUUCCUUCUUUCUUCCAAGUUGGGAUAAAUUCAGCUUCUUAUUUUCCUGCUCCAGACCUUGGUUGUGGAGAAAGAUAGAAAAAGUUCCAUACAGGGGACUCUGUGAUCCUGCUAACAUCAUUAUUUACCUAAGCUCUUUAGACUCCAGUGAAAGCUUCUGAUUUAAUGUCAUGUCCCUACUUUAUGCCACAUGUCCCAUACCAUUUUCUUUGUUUUAUGCAAUUUAUUUCCACUAUCUGAUCCCAUUCCACCCACAUGACUUUGAGUGGAAAACUUCAUCUCUUCAUUGCUGAGUAAACAAACUUCAGGAUGAACAAGCCCUGUCCACUAUUUUCCCUUUUACUUUAAAAUUCUGGAAUUUUUAUGAUCUACGUUUUUUUCCUCUGUUUUUAUUCUUCACUCCAUAUCAACUUACUUGGGGAUCUACACCUUCAUUCAUUCUUUUCAUUCUGUCGGCACCUGGCUAUGGAGUUUACAUUUCUCAUCAUAUUUACUCCUCAUAAUAAUCCUGUGAGGUAUAUACCACUCUGAGUCUUGUAUAAGAGAAAAAGAAACUGAGAUAGGGAUAACUCAAAGGGAUAAUUCAUUUGCUGGAGCUACCAACUAGCUACUAACCAUGCUAGAAUGGACAGAGAUGACAUUCAUGCCAAAGACCAUGUUGACUUGCUAUCUCUACAUUUGCUCUAAGUUUAGAAAAAAAAAAUCCCUUCAAUUUAUCCUCCAACAGUCUUCUUAGAACCUUACCAUGGAUGCCUUGUAUAACACAUUUCACCUUUCUGGUAAAAAAAAAAAAAAAAAAAAAAAAAAAAAAGUACCCCUCUUCCUUUCAUUAAAUCUUGCUUUUCCCAAAGCCAGUGAUUUUAAUCUCUUCAAAAUACUGCCUUCUAAUUUAUUAGAAUAUAGGCUCUGUUAAGGAAAAGGCCUUGCCUAUAUCUGUUAAUAAUUUUUACCUUGUAAUCACAGUGAAGAGCAUUGAAUUUGCCACAUGGUAAGUAUUCAGUAAAUAAAUAGAUAUAAGGUGAAAUAAAGUAGUCCACCCAUCCCUUUUUUAUUCGGUUGUUUACUGUGUUCUUGGAUAUUUUUAAAAAUGUGUCUUCACAGAUGUAAUUUAGAGACAUUGUAUCUAGUCCACCAAAAAAAAAACACCUAAUUUUGAUGAAGGAGUCACAUAAAUUUUGGAAAAGUAAUAUUUUUAUAAUAUAGUUCCUUUAUACAUGAAUAUGAUGGGCCUUCUUUUUGACUUGCAGGGUAGUUUAUCCAUUUUAUUUAUGUACAGAUAUUACCUGAAUGGUGGACACAAAUCCAAAUACAAAUCUGAUCUUGUUGCCCUACUCAAGUCCUCCAUUGGCUCUUCAUUGCUUAUAUUAUGGUACUAUUAUUUAUGGUAAUAAUACUCGGGUAUGACAAAAGUAACAUUUUACUUUGUGUAACUGAAAUCAACUUGUUCAUUUUACUUAAGGAUAAAGUUACCCUUUAUUUUCCCCCUGAAUAGAAACACACACAAUAUUCCUUGCAUACUUUUCAUGUAUGCAAUGUUGCUUCCCUUCACCCUC